AAAGAAAAACUCACGGAGACGGAAGCAGUUUUGAAGCACUCAACCGUUACAAGCAAGAAGCCACCAACAGAGACACUCUGUGCUUUUAUCAUCUCAGAAAGAACCGAAACUUCAGGAGUUAAGAGACUUUUCAGUAACCGCAAGGCAUCAAAAGGUUCGAGGCAUGAAGAUCUUCAUCUCCAUCACCUUCCUCCUCGUCUCAGCUGUGAGCUGGGUAAGCUGUGUUCAGACACUGGAGGGUUCUGUAGGAGGAGCUGUGGAAAUCACGUGUGAAUAUCCUAAUGGCAUUGAGGCCGAGACAGUGCUUCUGAUGAAAAUUAACUUUAGUAAGAAUGUCAUCAUCAUUGAGUCAACACAGAGAGAGAAGACUGAAGGGAGAUUCUCACUGUAUCAUGACUCA